UGGGAAUGAGAAGACUCUCGUGAAGGCGUC
rnacentral:piRNA from 1 species